rnacentral:misc_RNA from 1 species
UCGUAACAAGGUUUCCGUAGGUGAACCUGCGGAAGGAUCAUUACCGAGUGCGGGUCCUUUGGGCCCAACCUCCCAUCCGUGUCUAUUAUACCCUGUUGCUUCGGCGGGCCCGCCGCUUGUCGGCCGCCGGGGGGGCGCCUUUGCCCCCCGGGCCCGUGCCCGCCGGAGACCCCAACACGAACACUGUCUGAAAGCGUGCAGUCUGAGUUGAUUGAAUGCAAUCAGUUAAAACUUUCAACAAUGGAUCUCUUGGUUCCGGCAUCGAUGAAGAACGCAGCGAAAUGCGAUAACUAAUGUGAAUUGCAGAAUUCAGUGAAUCAUCGAGUCUUUGAACGCACAUUGCGCCCCCUGGUAUUCCGGGGGGCAUGCCUGUCCGAGCGUCAUUGCUGCCCUCAAGCCCGGCUUGUGUGUUGGGUCGCCGUCCCCCUCUCCGGGGGGACGGGCCCGAAAGGCAGCGGCGGCACCGCGUCCGAUCCUCGAGCGUAUGGGGCUUUGUCACAUGCUCUGUAGGAUUGGCCGGCGCCUGCCGACGUUUUCCAACCAUUUUUUCCAGGUUGACCUCGGAUCAGGUAGGGAUACCCGCUGAACUUAAGCAUAUCAA